rnacentral:rRNA from 1 species
UACGUAGGGGGCUAGCGUUGUCCGGAAUCAUUGGGCGUAAAGCGCGUGUAGGCGGUCCGGUAAGUCCGCUGUGAAAGUCGAGGGCUCAACCCUCGAAUGCCGGUGGAUACUGUCGGGCUUGAGUACGGGAGAGGCGACUGGAAUUCCUGGUGUAGCGGUGAAAUGCGCAGAUAUCAGGAAGAACACCAGCGGCGAAGGCGGCACUCUGGGCUGGAAUUGACGCUGAGGAGCGAAAGUGUGGGUAGCAAACAGG